GAGUUUGAUCCUGGCUCAGAACGAACGCUGGCGGCACGCCUAACACAUGCAAGUCGAGCGCUACCUUCGGGUGGAGCGGCGGACGGGUUAGUAACGCGUGGGAACAUACCCUUUUCUACGGAAUAGCCUCGGGAAACUGAGAGUAAUACCGUAUACGGCCUUCGGGCGAAAGAUUUAUCGGUGAAGGAUUGGCCCGCGUUAGAUUAGAUAGUUGGUGGGGUAAUGGCCUACCAAGUCUACGAUCUAUAGCUGGUUUGAGAGGAUGAUCAGCAACACUGGGACUGAGACACGGCCCAGACUCCUACGGGAGGCAGCAGUGGGGAAUCUUAGACAAUGGGCGCAAGCCUGAUCUAGCGAUGCCGCGUGAGUGACGAAGGCCUUAGGGUCGUAAAGCUCUUUCGCCAGGGAUGAUAAUGACAGUACCUGGUAAAGAAACCCCGGCUAACUCCGUGCCAGCAGCCGCGGUAAUA
rnacentral:rRNA from 1 species